CAGCCGCGGUAAUACGGAGGGUGCAAGCGUUAAUCGGAAUUACUGGGCGUAAAGCGCACGCAGGCGGUCUGUCAAGUCGGAUGUGAAAUCCCCGGGCUCAACCUGGGAACUGCAUUCGAAACUGGCAGGCUAGAGUCUUGUAGAGGGGGGUAGAAUUCCAGGUGUAGCGGUGAAAUGCGUAGAGAUCUGGAGGAAUACCGGUGGCGAAGGCGGCCCCCUGGACAAAGACUGACGCUCAGGUGCGAAAGCGUGGGGAGCAAACAGG
rnacentral:rRNA from 1 species